rnacentral:rRNA from 1 species
CCUACGGGUGGCACCAGUGGGGAAUAUUGCGCAAUGGGCGAAAGCCUGACGCAGCGACGCCGCGUGGGGGAUGACGGCCUUCGGGUUGUAAACCGCUUUCGCCUGUGACGAAGCGUGAGUGACGGUAAUGGGUAAAGAAGCACCGGCUAACUACGUGCCAGCAGCCGCGGUAAUACGAAGGGGGCUAGCGUUGUUCGGAAUUACUGGGCGUAAAGCGCGCGUAGGCGGAUAGAUAAGUCAGAGGUGAAAUCCCGGGGCUCAACCCCGGAAUUGCCUUUGAUACUGUUUAUCUUGAGUGCAGAAGAGGUAAGUGGAAUUCCGAGUGUAGAGGUGAAAUUCGUAGAUAUUCGGAGGAACACCAGUGGCGAAGGCGGCUUACUGGUCUGCAACUGACGCUGAGGCGCGAAAGCGUGGGGAGCAAACAGGAUUAGAUACCCGUGUAGUC